ensembl:lincRNA 4732465J04Rik RIKEN cDNA 4732465J04 gene
GGGGUUCGUAUAGGCAGGGAGCAGAGGCGUAAGGCUGAGAUCGGCUUCCCUAGAGCCCUUCAAACUGGAUGGACCUGCACUUGUUGCUUAAAUGUCUUGAGGCCUGUGUUUCCACAUCUGGGAAAUGGGGAAAUUGUGGUGUUUGCUGUGAAGCUUCCUCAUUGGCUGAUGAACUCAUCUGGUGUUCCUAAGACCAACACCUUCAGUCCCAUUUCACAAAGUCCAAAUCACAAAGGAGGAAACAGUAUUUAUUUGAUGAAUGCUGUAUUGAAGGAUAAGCCCAUAAUCAAAUGCUCCAUACCAUCUGUUUGAGAGAGUUUUUUGAGACUGGGAUCACUGUCUGGAACCACUGGCCGCCCUCUGAAGGCUGGAGAGGUGGUGACAGCUGAAUAAAUGAUGGAGCUACGAGUCCAUGGGUUAGGUUACCUGGGCAUGGGAAUCCCCAUAUAGCCAAUGCCUUCCUGGGUAUUAAGUGUCAGAUAAACACAGCUCCUCAACUGCUACCCUGUGAAUGUGUGUCAUCGCCUGCUGGAAGCCGAUGCCAUGUGCUGUUUACUUGGUGGGGAGGACAGAAACUAUAUCUUUCUGGAGUAUUUCAGAUUCCAAGGUCUAAUCCUGGACAGCAGGGUCACUGCACUAUCUGGAUCUCAUUAAGAGUCUUGAUAGGGACAUGACCUCCUAAGACUCACCUUGGGGCAGCCAAAUGCUGCAGGAACCAGUGAGGCUUGGGUUGCAGGCGCUCAGAUUGCCUUUCCAUGGUCACAGAAAGGUCUUAGGGUCUGGUCUUUUGUCUCAUAGUCUACUUUGUGUCAGGGGGGAAGCUAUCCUUUAAGCUAAAGCCUAUAGAAAGGGGAGAGGGUCCAGAGACAUCAAGCUAUAGAUCCGCCCCAUCUUGAAAGGUCUUAUGGGAACGGGAAAUAAAUCUAGGGUUUCAUUUCUGAGUCAGCUUUCUUUACCUAUUAAAACUGAGGGAGAAAGCAGGGUGUAGCUAGGUGACAGAAUACUUGCCUGGCGUGUGCAAAGGCCCUGAAUUCAAGUCCCAGUACCAUAAAGCAAUAACACCAGUGAAAUCAAAGGCAAGGAGACAAAAGUCCCGACUGCUGGCCAGCGGUUCAUCUCUCUGGUCUUUAACUUGGUUUUCUCACUGCUGGGACAAGGAAGUUGCUUGUUUUGGCCUAUUGUUUUGUUGUGUCUUUUUCUUAGGAGGAAGUUACCUUAUUUCCUGGCCCUGACCACUAGCUGGAGUCAACAUUUGGAUGCUGCUCCAUGCAGAUGACCCCUGCCAAGCAGAUCAAGUCUUCAUCAUGUGGUUAGCAGCGGCAACCAUGAGUCGGACAUGAUCUCAUGUUCAGGGGAUGUAGGGAGAGACAGGAGCUGGACUCUGAAACUAGAAUAUAGCUUCUCUGUGGCUCAAUUUCCUGGUUUUUAAAAGGAGUUAAAUGUAUUGCUUAAAAAGUAGAUGACUUCAGAAGGCAUCAGUGGCAUAAAACAGUUAUGUGACAAUUGUGAGUUAUUCUCUCUCUCUCUGUUUCUCUCUGUGUGUAUCUGUCUAUCUCUCUCUGUUUGUUUUUUGUUUUUUGUUUUUGUUUUUGUUUUUUUGAGACAGGCUUUUUCUGUAUAGCCUUGGUUGUCCUGGAACUCCUCUGUAGACUAGGCUGACCUUGAACUCACAGAGAUCUGCCUGCCUCUACCUCCUGAGUGCUGGGAUUAAGGGCAUUUAUCAUCACCACACAGCUCUGUUUCUUACUUUACAUGCACGAUGAACUCAACAGCCAUUAAAAAAAAAGUGUUGUGUAAUCCAGGAGGUAGUGGCGAACACCUUUAAUCCCAGUACUGAAGGCAGAGGCAGGUAGAUCUCUGAGUUAGAGGACACAGAGAAACCCUGCCUCAAAAACAAACAAACAAACAAACAAACAAACAAAAAAGUGUUAUAGUGUUGUACAUAUGAAAAUGUCACAAUGUAACCCAUUACUGUGUGUCUUAUUUAGGGUUUUACUGCUGUGAACCAACACCAUGACCAAGGCAAGACUUACGAAAGACAACAUUUAAUUGGGGCUGCCUUACAGGUUCAGAGGUUCAGUCCAUUAUCAUCAAGGCAGGGACAUGACAGAAUCCAGGCAGGCAUGGUGCAGGAGAAGCUAAGAUUUCUACAUCUUGGAAGGCUGCUAGUAGAAGAAUAUUCACUUCCAGGCAGCUAGGAUGAGGGUCUUAAGCCCACGCCCACAGUGACACACCUACUCCAACAAGGCCACACCUCUUAAUAGUCCAGUCCCUGGGCCAAGCAUAUAUAAACCAUCACAUUAUGUGUAAUUAAUUUGUGCUAAUGAAAUAUGCCCACCAUAUGGAGCUCUUUGGUUUAAUUUCAAUGGCCAUGUUUGGGAGAGGUCACAAAACUAGCAAGCAGACUAUGAGAAAGGAAGAAGAGAUCUAAAGAAUGGGGAGGGGCAAUAGGGAUGUGAAAUACAUGGAUUGAAAGUGAACGGGGCCUAUGAAGGGGAAGACAUUGGUCCAACAAGAGGGGUGGGGGACACAGGAAGAGGAUGGGAGAGUGGAACCAAUAAGAGCAGGGCUUAUGUGAAAAUGCCCUGAGGAAGUUAUUGCUGUAUGAGCUAACCUAACAAACGCAGAACAAGGUAAAUGAAAGUGGGAAAGGCGGCAUGUUUAGAUCAAACCAAGUGAAUGAAAAAAAAUUGGCACAACUUAGUUGUUUAGGAUUAAUGUUCCCGCAUAUUAAAUACUGAUGUCCCG